GCCAGAGUAGUUCAGUGGCAGAACACCAUCAUGGUAAGAUGGGGGUCGAGAGUUCGAUUCUCUCCUCUGGCUCCA
rnacentral:tRNA from 1 species